rnacentral:rRNA from 1 species
CAAUAGCGUAUAUUAAAGUUGUUGCAGUUAAAAAGCUCGUAGUUGAACUUCUGGCGGGCGCGCCGGUCUUCCAAGUGUUGUACUGGGCGCAGUCCGCCAUCCUUGUGGAGAGGGCUCGCAUUGAGUUGCGUGUCGGAUCUGCAUCAUUUACUGUGAAAAAAUUAGAGUGUUUAAAGCAGGCUGUCGCUUGAAUACAUUAGCAUGGAAUAAUAAGAUAGGACUUCGGUCUAUUUUGUUGGUUGCGAACCGAGGUAAUGAUUAAUAGGGAUAGUUGGGGGUAUUCAUAUUUAAUUGUCAGAGGUGAAAUUCUUGGAUUUAUGAAAGAUGAACAACUGCGAAAGCAUUUACCAAGGAUGUUUUCAUUAA